UGCAUCCCCAGUCCUGUCUUACAGUUACAAAAACUGUGGGUUUCAAAUGGUUGCCUGAUACUCUGUAUAAUUUCUUCAACAGCAUCUUAGGUUUCAAUGUUGAGAGCUGCAGUGCGUGUCUCAGUGGUAGAACUUGCCUAAUGUGCAAAACCUGAGCUUCUGUCUCCAUACUUGGAGAAUGAUUACAUUUUUUUACACCUUUUUCUUUUAAACAUUUUAUUUAUUUGUGUUAUGUGUAUGGAUACAUAUAUGCCACGGUGCACAUAUGGAUGUCAGAGGACAGCUUUCAGGAGUGAGUUCUCUCUACUGUGUGGGCCCCAGUGAUGGAACUCAUGUCCUCAGGCUUGGCAACAAUGGUUUUUAUCUGGUGGGCCAUCUUACCUGCCCUGUAUUUUUUAAUUUCAAGACUUCUGUAAUGACUGUCCUUGGCAGAGCAAGAUUUCUGUUCUCCCUUAAAUUUAAAAAAAAAAAUAAAAAAUAAAAAUACAGCCUUGUCUACAGAAUGAGUCCAGGGAAGGAAGAGAAGGAAGAGGAGGAGGAGGAAGAGAAGGAAAGAAGGGUGAAUCUCCACAUAAACAACCAUAACACGAGUACACAACACAAAGAUAGCCAGCUCUGUCUGCAAGGCAGCUUUUGUUCAGUCAUGUGCACAUUUAGCCCCUGAAGCUGUUCCUGACAGCUUCCUUGGUGUGCUGUGCUGUCCUAGGUGGUUUGAGGACACUUGCAAAGAUCAGCAAGGUAGUCCACGUGUACAGAAAUCAGUAUGUCAUCUACAUCAAGUGGGCACAGCAUGAGAAGGCCAAAACUCUUAAAGGUCACAGCAUUGGGAAGAUUGAGAAUGCUGAUCUAGAGGCACCCUGGUUUUGCAUUACACCCCCUCCCCUUUUUUUAUAGCACUCACUUUUAACUAUUUUAUUUGGAGUUCCUUAAAGCCUCUCCCUUCUAACCCCCCAACUUUAGGAAGGAGAGAGAAAGUUAGCGGGGAGAAGGGGCGCAGAUGCCUAAUUUCUCUCAGCUGUUUAGGGUCAAUGGGUUCUCAGUCUGUCUCCAAGCGGCUGCACCACAAAGCAUCUCUCCCAUGUCUCUCCAAACCACCACACUGCCUGUCUCUGGUCUCUCUAAACCUCCGCCCUUUCUUUCUGGGCUCUCCUGUUUUUAGCCCUGUGCUGCACAAGGCGGGCUGUUAUCAGCUGACAAAGAGGCUAGCCCGCAGGAGGCAGUUAUCAGCUGUGGACAAGCUAAAGCCCAGACUAAACCUGGGAUUAAAACAAAAACAUAUUACAUAACUGAGUUUUUAAAGAAACCAAAACUUCCAUUGCGCGGUUUCUCUUUGUAGUCUUGGCUAUCUUGGAACUCACUCUGUAGACCAGGCUAGCCUUGAUCUCCAAGAUCUGCCUGCUUCUGGAUUCUGAGUACUGAGAAUUUUUUUUUUUUUUUUUUUUUUUUUUGGUUUUUCGAGACAAGGUUUCUCUGUGUGUAACCUUGGCUGUUCUGGACUCUUUCUGUAGACUCACAGAGAUCCACCUGCCUCUGCCUCCCCAGUGCUGGGGUUACCGUGUUGCCUGUUUUGCCAUUCUUCAUGAUGGCUGUAUCACCAAGUAGAUGGCAGGAGGGCCCAUGCAUUCUAAGCGUCACUAGUUCACUAGAAGUUCUGAGAGAAAAGGGCAAAGCUCUCUUCCUGAGCCUCCCCACCCAGGUGGUUAUCACCGGGCUGGAACCAAAAAAAAAGGAAAAUAAUUCUUGAAUGCAAAGCCAAGUCUCCGCAAGUUAGGAAAGAAAAAGGCCAAUAUAAGGAGCUCACUGAGAAUGCAAACGUGAACACAAGCUGUCAUGCAGCCACAGCUAACCGCAGCCGGAGUCUCGUGCCAGCCUCUUAGGAGCUUUUCAAAGCGUGCCUGAUUGUGUCUCUCUUUCCACCUGUUUGGCUACUGACCUAUCAUUCUGUAAAUCUCCUUUUGCAGUUUUGAUAAAUUAUGAAUAAAAACUGGAACCAUUUCCUAA